AAGACUAUACUUUCAGGGAUCAUUUCUAUAGUUUGUUACUAGAGAAAUCUCACUGACUGUGUAGAGCACCAAAAGCCACGAGGAGGAGGUACAGUGUCCUCUCCUGAGCGUGAAGCUGGCACAUGGUGUUGCCUUAGGGCACCUGCCUCUUGCCAUUGAUGAUCGUUCUUCCUUCCUGUUUGGGAGGUGAGAGGGAGAGGACACAGUCUGAGUGGU